UACGGAGGGUGCGAGCGUUGUUCGGAAUUACUGGGCGUAAAGGGCGUGUAGGCGGGUAUAUAAGUCAGAUGUGAAAUACCUUAGCUUAACUAAGGAAGUGCAUCUGAAACUGUAUAUCUUGAGUACGAUAGAGGAGAGUGGAAUUCCCAGUGUAGAGGUGAAAUUCAUAGAUAUUGGGAAGAACACCGGUGGCGAAGGCGGCUCUCUGGAUCGAUAUUGACGCUGAUACGCGAAAGCGUGGGGAGCAAACAGG
rnacentral:rRNA from 1 species